rnacentral:rRNA from 1 species
UACGUAGGUGGCAAGCGUUGUCCGGAUUUACUGGGCGUAAAGAGCGCGCAGGCGGUCGUUCAAGUCGCGUGUGAAAGCCCCCGGCUCAACUGGGGAGGGUCACGCGAUACUGAUCGACUCGAAGGCAGGAGAGGGAAGUGGAAUUCCCGGUGUAGUGGUGAAAUGCGUAGAUAUUAGGAAGAACACCGGUGGCGAAGGCGGCUCUCUGGAACGGUACUGACGCUGAGACGCGAAAGCGUGGGGAGCGAACAGG